rnacentral:pre_miRNA from 1 species
AAACCAUCAGGGUUGUCGGUCUACCGAGCAAUACCACCCACUCGGUGGAAGAACUUCCGUUAAACAU